rnacentral:lncRNA from 1 species
UUGAAGUGGUGUGCUUGGGUUGCGCUAUACUGCUCCUGCACCAGCUUUGCCAACUCGAGAGACAAUGACGAUACGAAACAAAUGCUCAGCAGCUUCAUGUUGUCCAUUUCUGCAGUUGUGAUGUCCUACCUUCAAAACCCACAGCCAAUGACACCUCCAUGGUCCAAUAUAUAAACAGUUCUAUAUUAUCGAUUGUUUUUGGUUGAAUGGAAAUGUAUAAUUGCCUCACCAUACUUGUAUUAAAAUUGUACUGCUGAAUGACAGUGACAAUUUUAGUUUUAAUAAACUAGCUAAUGGUGCCAGGUUUGUAUUAUGAUGUGCAAUAUGGAACAGUGCCAACAUUUGAUGAUGUGCAUGAGUUACAAAAUGGCUUGGUUUGUUAAUCUUUUAAUUUGUGUAGCCUGCACUAUAUAAUUCUUGUGUUAUACUUCCCAUCCAAAAGUUUCUUGUAAGCAGCUUGUCUUUUUUUUUCUUUAACAAAUGGACAAAUUUGUAUUGUCCCAUAACAUUAUCAUGUCAUUCAUGCCAGUGUAAAAGGCAAUAGCAUGAAGGUCAAAGCUUGAAAUAUCCUGGAAUAUGAAGUACCAUACGAGUUGAUCCUCGAGUGACAACCACAUUAGUACAGUAGAUAGCCUCCAUAUUAGACAUAAAAGGAAGACUUGAUCACCACGUUAGAAAUAGAAGAGUGAAAGGGAAUUGGGAGUGGAAUGGUAGGCAGUCAGUAUGGGGGAAGGGAGACUUUUGGAGUACAGUACAGUACUGUCCAUUCAGUAGAGCCAGGCUGUCACCUGAUCGGAUGACAGGCAAAGUUAUCAGUCACUAGCACUGAUUUUAUAGUUUUCUUCGAGGUGACAUCAACUGCAUAAUAUCUUUUUGAUCAUGAAAUUACAUUAACUCCAACCAGUUACUGCUGGCUAAUAAUUCUUAGACAUAAAGGAAAGAGGACAAAUCAGAAGAGCAUGUUAAGAUAGGGCUACCUGAAUAGGUUUCAGUUGUGGUUACUCCAUCAGAGGGGCGUUCAUGGGGAUAAAGACAGAUUCUACAGUAAAUUGUUAAUUCCUCUUUUAGGACUGCCUCCUCUUCCAUUUUGCUUAGUUAUGCAAAGUUGUUGUUUUAUGGUUACAAAGGAAACAUAUCAUUCCUUAAUUUCUUAUUUUGACUGUAUCAGAAUUUAGAAUUUCUAAAAUAUAGUUACAGGUUGUAAGUACAGUAUGUAUAACAGUUUAUACAGUACUAUACUUAGUGUAUAAAAUAUAUAUUAAUGCAGGCCAUAUGUAUUAUUGUUAAAUAUGUACUUUUGUAUUUCAUAGUAAACCUUUUACCAUAAUAUAUAAUUAUCUUCUCCUUUCAAUAGUGCAUUUGUCAUGUUGAAUUAUAUGGUAUAUCAGGAUUUUAUCGGUACUACCUUGUUGACUGCGUGUUCCUCCCGUUACUAUACUGUAUACAGUAUCUCUCCUUCCCAUUACAGUAUUACGCUGAGAUGUAUCAGUAAGGUGGUUGGGCUCACUGGCUCAAGCAAAGAAUAUUCACUAUACAAUACUAUAUUGAAUAUAAAUUCAGUGGAUUUUGUACUACAUGGGAACCUGGUCCAAGAUAGGGAUUUUAAUCUAGCCAGUGACCUGUACAAUGAAUUUGGCAUCUAGAUAAUGCAGAAUUCCUCCAAGACUGAUAAUUUUAAAUUAAUAUUACUAAAAAAUUCAAACAGUGCUUUUUCCAUGGGAUUUCUGCAUCAAAUUAUGCACAAAUGUAUGUCCUAUCAUGUGCACAAAUAAAGGGUGAAUGCUGUGGAUCUUGUUGUCCAUUAAAAUCUGUACAAUAAAGCUUUCAGUCACAUGCCAUCCCUAAGGUG